rnacentral:lncRNA from 1 species
GUUAGGGUUAAAAUCACUGUCCAAAACCUUUGUAGGAACUCUUUUCCAACCUUUUGGAGUUAGUUAGACCAAAAAAUAUGAAAAAUGAAAAAAAUAUUAUUGGGGUUUUCGGGCUCCCUGAAAGUAAUACCCGGGUAUUAGGUUUUGGGACUAGGGAAAGGUUUAAGGUUUUUGGCGUUAGGGUUAAAAUCACUGUCCAAAACCUUUGUAGGAACUCUUUUCCAACCUUUUGGAGUUAGUUAGACCAAAAAAAAAUGAAAAAUGAAAAAAAAAUAUUUGGGGUGUUCAGGCUUCCUGAAUGUAAUACCCGGGUAUUAGAUUUUGAGGCUAGGGUAAGGUUUAAGGUUUUUGGCGUUAGGGUUAAAAUCACUGUCCAAAACCUUUGUAGGAACUCUUUUCCAACCUUUUGGAGUUGGUUACACCAACAAAAAUGUAAAAUGAAAAAAAAAUAUUUGGGGUGUUCGGGCUUCCUGAAGGUAAUACCCGGGUAUUAGGUUAUGGGGCUAGGGUAAGGUUUAAGGUUUUUGGCGUUAGGGUUAAAAUCACUGUCCAAAACCUUUGUAGGAACUCUUUUCCAACCUUUUGGAGUUAGUUUGACCAAAAAAAAAAGAAAAAUGAAAAAAAAAUAUUUGGGGUGUUCAGGCUUCCUAAAAGUAAUACCUGGGUAUUAGGUUAUGGGGCUAUGGUAAGGUUUAAGGUUUUUGGCGUUAGGGUUAAAAUCACUGUCCAAAACCUUUGUAGGAACUCUUUUCCAACCUUUUGGAGUUGGUUACACCAACAAAAAUGUAAAAUGAAAAACAAAUAUUUGGGGUGUUCUGGCUUCCUGAAGGUAAUACCCGGGUAUUAGAUUUCAAGGCUAGGGUAAGGUUUAAGGUUUUUGGCGUUAGGGUUAAAAUCACUGUCCAAAACCUUUGUAGGAACUCUUUUCCAACCUUUUGGAGUUAGUUAGACCAAAAAAAAUGAAAAAUGAAAAAAAAAUAUUUGGGGUGUUCAGGCUUCCUUAAUGUAAUACCCGGGUAUUAGAUUUUAAUGCCAGGGUAAGGUUUAAGUUUUUUGGCAUUAGGGUUUAAAUCACUGUCCAAAACCUUUGUAGGAACUCUUUUCCAACCUUUUGGAGUUAGUUAGACCAAAAAAUAUAAAAAAAGAAAAAAAUAUUAUUGGGGGUUUUCGGGCUCCCUGAAAGUAAUACCCGGGUAUUAGGUUUUGGGACUAGGGAAAGGUUUAAGGUUUUUGGCGUUAGGGUUAAAAUCACUGUCCAAAACCUUUGUAGGAACUCUUUUCCAACCUUUUGGAGUUAGUUUGACCGAAAAAAAAAGAAAAAUGAAAAAAUAUAUAUUUGGGGUUUUCGGGCUUCCUGAAUGUAAUACCCGGGUAUUAGAUUUUAAGGCUAGGGUAAGGUUUAAGUUUUUUGGCGUUAGGGUUAAAAUCCCUGUCCAAAACCUUUGUAGGAACACUUUUCCAACCUUUUGGAAUUAGAUAAACCAAAAAAAAAUGAAAAAUGAAAAAAUAUAUAUUUGGGGUUUUCGGGCUUCCUGAAUGUAAUACCCGGGUAUUAGAUUUUAAGGCUAGGGUAAGGUUUAAGUUUUUUGGCGUUAGGGUUAAAAUCACUGUCCAAAACCUUUGUAGGAACUCUUUUUCAACCUUUUGGAGUUAGUUAGACCAAAAAAAAAUGAAAAAUGAAAAACAAAUAUUUGGGGUGUUCGGGCUUCCUGAAGGUAAUACCCGGGUAUUAGGUUUUGGGACUGGGGAAAGGUUUAAGGUUUUUGGCGUUAGGGUUAAAAUCACUGUCCAAAACCUUUGUAGGAACUCUUUUCCAACCUUUUGGAGUUAGUUUGACCAAAAAAAAAAAGAAAAAUGAAAAAAUAUAUAUUUGGGGUUUUCGGGCUUCCUGAAUGUAAUACCCGGGUAUUAGAUUUUAAGGCUAGGUUAAGGUUUAAGUUUUUUGGCGUUAGGGUUAAAAUCCCUGUCCAAAACCUUUGUAGGAACACUUUUCCAACCUUUUGGAAUUAGAUAAACCAAAAAAAAAAUGAAAAAUGAAAAAAUAUAUAUUUGGGGUUUUCGGGCUUCCUGAAUGUAAUACCCGGGUAUUAGAUUUUAAGGCUAGGGUAAGGUUUAAGUUUUUUGGCGUUAGGGUUAAAAUCACUGUCCAAAACCUUUGUAGGAACUCUUUUCCAACCUUUUGGAGUUAGUUAAACCAAAACAAAAAUGAAAAAUGAAAAAAUAUAUAUUUGGGGUGUUCGGGCUUCCUGAAUGUAAUACCCGGGUAUUAGAUUUUAAGGCUAGGGUAAGGUUUAAGUUUUUUGGCGUUAGGGUUAAAAUCACUGUCCAAAACCUUUGUAGGAACUCUUUUCCAACCUUUUGGAGUUGGUUACACCAACAAAAAUGUAAAAUGAAAAAAAAAUAUUUGGGGUGUUCGGGCUUCCUGAAGGUAAUACCCGGUAUUAGAUUUUAAGGCUAGGGUAAGGUUUAAGGUUUUUGGCGUUAGGGUUAAAAUCACUGUCCAAAACCUUUGUAGGAACUCUUUUCCAACCUUUUGGAGUUAGUUACACCAAAAAAAAUGAAAAAUGAAAAAAAAAUUAUUUGGGGGUUUUCGGGCUCCCUGAAAGUAAUACCCGGGUAUUAGGUUAUUGGGCUAGGGUAAGGUUUAAGGUUUUUGGCGUUAGGGUUAAAAUCACUGUCCAAAACCUUUGUAGGAACUCUUUUCCAACCUUUUGGAGUUGGUUACACCAACAAAAAUGUAAAAUGAAAAAAAAAUAUUUGGGGUGUUUGGGCUUCCUGAAGGUAAUACCCGGGUAUUAGAUUUUAAGGCUAGGGUAAGGUUUAAGGUUUUUGGCGUUAGGGUUAAAAUCACUGUCCAAAACCUUUGUAGGAACUCUUUUCCAACCUUUUGGAGUUGGUUACACCAACAAAAAUGUAAAAUGAAAAAAAUAUAUAUUUGGGGUGUUCAGGCUUCCUAAAAGUAAUACCCGGGUAUUAGGUUAUGGGGCCAUGGUAAGGUUUAAGGUUUUUGGCGUUAGGGUUAAAAUCACUGUCCAAAACCUUUGUAGGAACUCUUUUCCAACCUUUUGGAGUUAGUUAGACCAAAAAAAAUGAAAAAUGAAAAAAAAAUAUUUGGGGUGUUCAGGCUUCCUUAAUGUAAUACCCGGGUAUUAGAUUUUAAUGCCAGGGUAAGGUUUAAGUUUUUUGGCGUUAGGGUUAAAAUCACUGUCCAAAACCUUUGUAGGAACUCUUUUCCAACCUUUUGGAGUUGGUUACACCAACAAAAAUGUAAAAUGAAAAAAAAAAUAUUUGGGGUGUUCGGGCUUCCUGAAGGUAAUACCCGGGAAUUAGGUUAUGGGGCUAGGGUAAGUUUUAAGGUUUUUGGCGUUAGGGUUAAAAUCACUGUCCAAAACCUUUGUAGGAACAUUUCCAACCUUUUGGAGUUAGUUUGACCAAAAAAAAAAGAAAAAUGAAAAAAAAAUAUUUGGGGUGUUCAGGCUUCCUAAAAGUAAUAUCCAGGUAUUAGGUUAUGGGGCUAUGGUAAGGUUUAAGGUUUUUGGCGUUAGGGUUAAAAUCACUGUCCAAAACCUUUGUAGGAACUCUUUUCCAACCUUUUGGAGUUAGUUAGACCAAAAAAGAAUGAAAAAUGAAAAAAAAUAUUUGGGGUGUUCGGGCUUCCUGAAGGUAAUACCUGGGUAUUAGGUUAUGGGGCUAUGGUAAGUUUUAAGGUUUUUGGCGUUAGGGUUAAAAUCACUGUCCAAAACCUUUGUAGGAACUCUUUUCCAACCUUUUGGAGUUAGUUAGACCAAAAAAUAUGAAAAAAGAAAAAAAUAUUAUUGGGGUUUUCGGGCUCCCUGAAAGUAAUACCCGGGUAUUAGGUUUUGGGACUAGGGAAAGGUUUAAGGUUUUUGGCGUUAGGGUUAAAAUCACUGUCCAAAACCUUUGUAGGAACUCUUUUCCAACCUUUUGGAGUUAGUUAGACCAAAAAAAAUGAAAAAUGAAAAAAAAAAUAUUUGGGGUGUUCAGGCUUCCUUAAUGUAAUACCCGGGUAUUAGAUUUUGAGGCUAGGGUAAGGUUUAAGUUUUUUGGUAUUAGGGUUAAAAUCACUGUCCAAAACCUUUGUAGGAACUCUUUUCCAACCUUUUGGAGUUGGUUACACCAAAAAAAAAAGAAAAAUGAAAAAAAAUAUUUGGGGUGUUCGGGCUUCCUGAAGGUAAUACCCGGGUAUUAGAUUUCAAGGCUAGGGUAAGGUUUAAGGUUUUUGGCGUUAGGGUUAAAAUCACUGUCCAAAACCUUUGUAGGAACUCUUUUCCAACCUUUUGGAGUUAGUUACACCAACAAAAAUGAAAAUGAAAAAAAAUAUUUGGGGUGUUCGGGCUUCCUGAAGGUAAUACCCGGGUAUUAGGUUAUGGGGCUAGGGUAAGGUUUAAGGUUUUUGGCGUUAGGGUUAAAAUCACUGUCCAAAACCUUUGUAGGAACUCUUUUCCAACCUUUUGGAGUUAGUUAGACCAAAAAAAAAGAAAAAUGAAAAAAAAUAUUUGGGGUGUUCAGGCUUCCUUAAAGUAAUACCAGGUAUUAGGUUAUGGGGCUAUGGUAAGGUUUAAGGUUUUUGGCGUUAGGGUUAAAAUCACUGUCCAAAACCUUUGUAGGAACUCUUUUCCAACCUUUUGGAGUUAGUUAGACCAAAAAAGAAUGAAAAAUGAAAAAAAAAUAUUUGGGGUGUUCGGGCUUCCUGAAGGUAAUACCUGGGUAUUAGGUUAUGGGGCUAUGGUAAGGUUUAAGGUUUUUGGCGUUAGGGUUAAAAUCACUGUCCAAAACCUUUGUAGGAACUCUUUUCCAACCUUUUGGAGUUAGUUAGACCAAAAAAUAUGAAAAAAGAAAAAAAUAUUAUUGGGGGUUUUCGGGCUCCCUGAAAGUAAUACCCGGGUAUUAGGUUUUGGGACUAGGGAAAGGUUUAAGGUUUUUGGCGUUAGGGUUAAAAUCACUGUCCAAAACCUUUGUAGGAACUCUUUUCCAACCUUUUGGAGUUAGUUAGACCAAAAAAAAUGAAAAAUGAAAAAAAAAUAUUUGGGGUGUUCAGGCUUCCUUAAUGUAAUACCCGGGUAUUAGAUUUUGAGGCUAGGGUAAGGUUUAAGUUUUUUGGCAUUAGGGUUAAAAUCACUGUCCAAAACCUUUGUAGGAACUCUUUUCCAACCUUUUGGAGUUGGUUACACCAACAAAAAUGUAAAAUGAAAAAAAAAUAUUUGGGGUGUUCGGGCUUCCUGAAGGUAAUACCCGGGUAUUAGGUUAUGGGGCUAGGGUAAGGUUUAAGGUUUUUGGCGUUAGGGUUAAAAUCACUGUCCAAAACCUUUGUAGGAACUCUUUUCCAACCUUUUGGAGUUAGUUUGACCAAAAAAAAAGAAAAAUGAAAAAAAAAUAUUUGGGGUGUUCAGGCUUCCUAAAAGUAAUACCCGGGUAUUAGGUUAUGGGGCUAUGGUAAGGUUUAAGGUUUUUGGCGUUAGGGUUAAAAUCACUGUCCAAAACCUUUGUAGGAACUCUUUUCCAACCUUUUGGAGUUGGUUACACCAAAAAAAAAUGUAAAAUGAGAAAAAAAAUUUUUGGGGUGUUCGGGCUUCCUGAAUGUAAUACCCGGGUAUUAGAUUUUAAGGCUAGGGUAAGGUUUAAGUUUUUUGGCGUUAGGGUUAAAAUCACUGUCCAAAACCUUUGUAGGAACUCUUUUCCAACCUUUUGGAGUUAGUUAGACCAAAAAAAAAGAAAAAUGAAAAAAAAAUAUUUGGGGUGUUCAGGCUUCCUAAAAGUAAUACCCGGGUAUUAGGUUAUGGGGCUAUGGUAAGGUUUAAGGUUUUUGGCGUUAGGGUUAAAAUCACUGUCCAAAACCUUUGUAGGAACUCUUUUCCAACCUUUUGGAGUUAGUUAGACCAAAAAAAAUGAAAAAUGAAAAAACAAUAUUUGGGGUUUUCGGGGUUCCUGAAUGUAAUACCCGGGUAUUAGAUUUUAAGGCUAGGGUAAGGUUUAAGGUUUUUGGCGUUAGGGUUAAAAUCACUGUCCAAAACCUUUGUAGGAACUCUUUUCCAACCUUUUGGAGUUGGUUAGACCAAAAAAAAAUGAAAAAUGAAAAAAAAUAUUUGGGGUGUUCAGGCUUCCUUAAAGUAAUACCCGGGUAUUAGGUUAUGGGGCUAUGGGUAAGGUUUAAGUUUUUUGGCGUUAGGGUUAAAAUCACUGUCCAAAACCUUUGUAGGAACUCUUUUCCAACCUUUUGGAGUUAGUUAGACCAAAAAAUAUGAAAAAAGAAAAAAAAAAAUAUUUGGGGUUUUCGGGCUUCCUGAAAGUAAUACCCGGGUAUUAGGUUUUGGGACUAGGGUAAGGUUUAAGGUUUUUGGCGUUAGGGUUAAAAUCACUGUCCAAAACCUUUGUAGGAACUCUUUUCCAACCUUUUGGAGUUAGUUAGACCAAAAAAAAAUGAAAAAUGAAAAAAAAAUAUUUGGGGUGUUCGGGCUUCCUGAAUGUAAUACCCGGGUAUUAGAUUUUAAGGCUAGGGUAAGGUUUAAGGUUUUUGGCGUUAGGGUUAAAAUCACUGUCCAAAACCUUUGUAGGAACUCUUUUCCAACCUUUUGGAGUUAGUUAGACCAAAAAAAAAGAAAAAUGAAAAAAAAAUAUUUGGGGUGUUCAGGCUUCCUUAAUGUAAUACCCGGGUAUUAGAUUUUAAGGCUAGGGUAAGGUUUAAGUUUUUUGGCAUUAGGGUUAAAAUCACUGUCCAAAACCUUUGUAGGAACUCUUUUCCAACCUUUUGGAGUUAGUUACACCAACAAAAAUGUAAAAUGAAAAAAACAUAUUUGGGGUGUUCGGGCUUCCUGAAGGUAAUACCCGGGUAUUAGAUUUUAAGGCUAGGGUAAGGUUUAAGGUUUUUGGCGUUAGGGUUAAAAUCACUGUCCAAAACCUUUGUAGGAACUCUUUUCCAACCUUUUGGAGUUAGUUAGACCAAAAAAAAAAGAAAAAUGAAAAAAAAAUAUUUGGGGUGUUCAGGCUUCCUAAAAGUAAUACCCAGGUAUUAGGUUAUGGGGCUAUGGUAAGGUUUAAGUUUUUUGGCGUUAGGGUUAAAAUCACUGUCCAAAACCUUUGUAGGAACUCUUUUCCAACCUUUUGGAGUUGGUUACAACCAACAAAAAUGUAAAAUGAAAAAAAAAUAUUUGGGGUGUUUGGGCUUCCUGAAGGUAAUACCCGGGUAUUAGAUUUUAAGGCUAGGGUAAGGUUUAAGUUUUUUGGCGUUAGGGUUAAAAUCACUGUCCAAAACCUUUGUAGGAACUCUUUUCCAACCUUUUGGAGUUGGUUACACCAACAAAAAUGUAAAAUGAAAAAAAUAUAUAUUUGGGGUGUUCAGGCUUCCUAAAAGUAAUACCCGGGUAUUAGGUUAUGGGGCUAUGGUAAGGUUUAAGGUUUUUGGCGUUAGGGUUAAAAUCACUGUCCAAAACCUUUGUAGGAACUCUUUUCCAACCUUUUGGAGUUGGUUACAACAACAAAAAAGUAAAAUGAAAAAAAAAUAUUUGGGGUGUUUGGGCUUCCUGAAGGUAAUACCCGGGUAUUAGAUUUUAAGGCUAGGGUAAGGUUUAAGUUUUUUGGCGUUAGGGUUACAAUCACUGUCCAAAACCUUUGUAGGAACUCUUCCAACC